rnacentral:rRNA from 1 species
AUUGAACGCUGGCGGCAGGCCUAACACAUGCAAGUCGAGCGGGGUUUUCGGACCUAGCGGCGGACGGGUGAGUAAUGCGUAGGAAGCUACCCGAUAGAGGGGGAUACCAGUUGGAAACGACUGUUAAUACCGCAUAAUGUCUACGGACCAAAGUGUGGGACCUUCGGGCCACAUGCUAUCGGAUGCGCCUACGUGGGAUUAGCUAGUUGGUGAGGUAAUGGCUCACCAAGGCGACGAUCCCUAGCUGGUUUGAGAGGAUGAUCAGCCACACUGGAACUGAGACACGGUCCAGACUCCUACGGGAGGCAGCAGUGGGGAAUAUUGGACAAUGGGCGCAAGCCUGAUCCAGCCAUGCCGCGUGUGUGAAGAAGGCCUUCGGGUUGUAAAGCACUUUCAGCGAGGAGGAAGGGGUGAGUGUUAAUAGUACUCAUCUUUGACGUUACUCGCAGAAGAAGCACCGGCUAACUCUGUGCCAGCAGCCGCCGCCG